rnacentral:rRNA from 1 species
CCGCCGGAGACCACACCGAACCUCUUGUUAUAGCAUGUCGUCUGAGCUUGAUACAAGCAAACCUAAUUAAAACUUUCAACAAUGGAUCUCUUGGUUCCGGCAUCGAUGAAGAACGCAGCGAACUGCGAUAAGUAAUGUGAAUUGCAGAAUUCAGUGAAUCAUCGAGUCUUUGAACGCACAUUGCGCCCCCUGGCAUUCCGGGGGGCAUGCCUGUCCGAGCGUCAUUGCUGCCCUUCAAGCCCGGCUUGUGUGUUGGGUCGUCGUCCCCCCCGGGGGACGGGCCCGAAAGGCAGCGGCGGCACCGCGUCCUGGUCCUCGAGCGUAUGGGGCUUUGUCACCCGCUCGUUUAGGGCCGGCCGGGCGCCAGCCGACGUCUCCAAACCUUUUAUUUUACCAGGUUGACCCUGGAAUCAGGUAGGGGAUACCCCGCUGAAACUUAAGCAUAUC